rnacentral:rRNA from 1 species
GGGUUGUGAGGUUAAGCGACUAAGCGUACACGGUGGAUGCCCUGGCAGUCAGAGGCGAUGAAGGACGUGCUAAUCUGCGAUAAGCGUCGGUAAGGUGAUAUGAACCGUUAUAACCGGCGAUUUCCGAAUGGGGAAACCCAGUGUGAUUCGUCACACUAUCAUUAACUGAAUCCAUAGGUUAAUGAGGCGAACCGGGGGAACUGAAACAUCUAAGUACCCCGAGGAAAAGAAAUCAACCGAGAUUCCCCCAGUAGCGGCGAGCGAACGGGGAGCAGCCCAGAGCCUGAAUCAGUGUGUGUGUUAGUGGAAGCGUCUGGAAAGGCGUGCGAUACAGGGUGACAGCCCCGUACACAAAAAUGCACAUAUUGUGAGCUCGAUGAGUAGGACGGGACACGUGGUAUCCUGUCUGAAUAUGGGGGGACCAUCCUCCAAGGCUAAAUACUCCUGACUGACCGAUAGUGAACCAGUACCGUGAGGGAAAGGCGAAAAGAACCCCGGCGAGGGGAGUGAAAAAGAACCUGAAACCGUGUACGUACAAGCAGUGGGAGCACGCUUAGGCGUGUGACUGCGUACCUUUUGUAUAAUGGGUCAGCGACUUAUAUUCUGU